rnacentral:lncRNA from 1 species
GGCAGAAGAAACAUGGGCGGGGUUUAGGCUUUGUAGGCUUGUGGUUCACCAGAAGAGAGUGGAGGAGGAGGAAGGGGAAGCUGCCAAGGGUUAGGAGUAAAGAAAAUGGCCCUGUAGGCUGCACAAUUGGAGUUAAGAACAGCCAAGAUGAAACACAAAACAGGACUUUUAAGGAAGUGUGCUAGCCAGGCACCAUGCCAAGAUGGACAUCUGCUUUUAAUGCCUCGUGUCAAGUUCAUAGUCGACACCCACCCAGAGUUUGUAGGACCUGUGGACACCAUUUGAGUUGGUGAGCUGGAGGGCUGUGUUCUCCUUACCUUGUUUCUAGAGCCCAAUCUGCCCAGCUGGUGACCAUGCUGACAGUUGCCCGGGGCCUGUUCUGUAUCACACAUGUUUGGGAUUUGCGAGUGGUAGUGGCCAGGAGACAGAAGAGGGCAGGAAGCAUUUCAGCCUUGGAAACAGAGUUCCCCAUGACCUGUCUUGUUUCAGGCCAGCUCCCCAUGU